GGAUAAUUGAUUAAUUACUCUCAUUUUAUUAAGCAAUGCAUUAAGUAGGGUUCAGUGCACUAAAAACUCAUUAACCAGGGCAAUCAGGGACAAGCACAACAAGCACAUGCAAUUUGAUUUUCCCAAGGGUUGCAAAACACCCGCACGUAUACACAAAACCCUUUUGAAGUCCCAAGUCAUCACAUCCUGCAACCUGGAAAAGCAGAAGAGCCAAACUGCUCUGCCUGCUUUUGUAGGUCUUGCAGUAAGACAUUGCUAUCAGGACCCUGUUGGUCUGAACAGGUAGGACAAGGAGGAAACUUGUGUUUUAGAGCAGUGAGACAUGUGAAAGGGAAAGAAAGAAAAAUCUUCCUUUGUAUGAGGGUAGUUGGGUGAAUAUAGCAAACGGGCAUGAGCUGCAGUCCCUGGCUGGCUUGGAAUAAAGUGCUGCUGAACUCAACUCAGGCUGGAAGUUUUCACACGGUUUGAGUAACACCUGAGUCAAAUCAAUUCCCUAAGAAAGCCAUACAGCUCUGCAUCCUCCCAUCUUCUUAAUGCACAGCAUAACACUGCCUGAUGCACCCGCAAGCCCAAAUGGGAGCUGGAUCUUGAGUGCUCCUGGCAAAUAUUUGCCUGUAUUGUCAGUAAUUGGGUUGACGGUCUGUUGUCAGUCUUGAAUAUUUCGUGGAGGUAAGGCCCACCGUAAUGGAACCUAUCAUGAGAAUGGUGUUGUUUUACUGCUCAGUAUGGUUCGGUGGACCGUUCACCACGGCUUCAUGGACAUUAGCUCUUUGUGGUUGGAGAACCGAUGACUUAAUGCGGUGCUGAGAGGUAAUUUUGCUGUUACCGUGAUGGAUGCAGCACAGUAACAUGGGUAGAAAAUAGUGUCUAUUUAUGGGCCUCUCAUCAAGAUAUAUGAUCUAUAGAAUGAAAUGUUUUCUUGGUAACAGUCUGAAGAAUUGUGUAAGAACUGCUGACAGCUCGGACUGUGCCUUUGGUGGUGAGGUAGAGAGAAGCAGGAAAGAUGGAUGCAGCAAUUAUGAUGGAGGCAAAGUCAGCCAACAAAUUGGCCAUUUCCUUUUUUCCAUUCAGUUAGGAGUGACAAAUGGUUUAAUUUACAUUACUUCCUUACAUUAAACUACAGUGUGUUCAACUGCCUGGAGAUUAAUUCAGUCUAUGGAUCUGGCAGGUUGUAUUUAUUUGAAUGUGUUUUCUUUUUAAAGGUUCAUAUUGAAUUUUGCUUGGUUCUAGUCUGUUAGGCUCCUGAAAUGCAUGUUUGCAAGAAACCUAGAUGAAAGGAUUACAGAGCAAUUAAAAUUCCUUGUCCUUUUUCUUUUUCCUUUCUGGCACCCCUGUUUGUAGAGUGGAUUGUUUCUGUCUGGAAGAUCUAAUUAAGCUUGCAACACUGAAAGAUGGUAAAGAGUUCGAGGUAGCCUUUGCCAUUCAGCAUAGGUAGGGCACGAGAGCUGCAUGAUACCUUACUUAUGUCAUGUUCUCAUGUCAUUUGCACUUGAUGUGACAACUCAAAACGCCAUAAACAGAUGAGAAGGAUUGUUUAACGGAGUCGCAUUGAUUUACAGUACUGAAAACGCGGCUUAUCCUUUCCAAAAAUGGGAUUAACUAACUCAAACUUCUCUGUAAAAAGGAAUGUAGAGGCCUUUCUCACUAUGCCCUAACAUUUUAGUGGAAUCAGUCUGAAUCAAUCCUGCUAGCCAGUGCUCAGAAAUAAAAUCUGGUGUUAUUUUUAACUGUGUAAUAAUGGAUACAGAAGACAACUAAUUUCUAGGAACAGGAGAGCAGUUAACAGAAAUAGUGAGUGCUAUUUUCAUCGGGUUUGGCUCUGUUUUCUUCUUGAGAUUUGUCCACUGACACAUCAAGGUGUGGGGUUUAUUUUGCAAUGUAUCUGCUUAUCAGAAGUAGCCACUGACUACUUUCUGUGAGUAAAUUUUGGUCUGUGAUUUGUUGGUGAGUGUUCAGCACUCAAAUCCAAGCUGCUUUGAGUACGUACGCCAAAUAAACACACCUUGCCUAGGGCCAGCACAUAUCCUGACUUACUUACAGUUUUGAGUAGGCUGAAUUAAUGCACAGGCCAGAAGUCUGCUCCUCUUGCCAGAACAGAAAUUGAUGUCAGCAGUUACCUGUUGAGGAGGAAGAUGCUUCUCACAGAGGUGAUCACGAGCCAGAUCUCAUUUCAGAGUGGGUCUCAGGUGAGGGGGACAGGCUUGACGAAGUGACCGAGCAUGUGCCCCUACGGCGGAUCUCUAAGUGGCUGCUGCAGCCUUGUCGUUUCCUUGUCCUCCUCAUCCCCAAACUUUGCAGAUCCCCACCUGCACUCUUUAGAAACCAUGCCUCUGCACUUCGACUCUGCGUCUCUAAAAUGGGUAUAAAGGGACUUCUUUCCUCCCUCACUGGACUGCAAAGGCUUGGUCUCUGAGCGGCAGGGACUGCCUGGGACUUCAGGCAUCCCAGCAGCAGCAGUGCCCCACAUUCAGCUGUGUCUCGCUGCUGCUAAUUGACAGCAGAGUGAGUGCCAGCUCCUCAGGAUGUAGGCUGGGUGUAUUUUCCUGUGAAGCCCACUUGCGUCGUUUUGUGGCUAAACAAAUAACAUGGCUGUCUUCUGCUGCUCUUUGUUACUUCUCACCCGUCUUGUGAUUUAUGCAAGGCCUCAUCCUAGGGCUGUCCUCUAUCUAUUCAUGUAUUUAGCUCCAGCUUUUUGCUGUGCCAUCUGAGAGCAGAAAGCCCAGCGUUACACAGAACAGGAGCAAAGCGAGGAGAAGGCAGAUUCUGACGGAGCUCGCCAAGGCCUAGGCUUGGUGAGUGGUAACCAAGGCAACGAGGCCUCUUUGGAAAUAAGUGCUCACUGCAGCCCCCCAUUUUGUGCAGAGAACUGGGCAGCGUUAAAGAUUAGAGAAGACAAGGUGAGCCACACUCAGGACUCCCGUGCUGCUUAUGCCUUAGUUGUGUGAAGGGUGAAGUCAGUCGCUGCAUGGGCUCUGCAGAAAGAAGGGCUGAAAGCUACAGAGGCAGAGUGAACAGAGCAGUGGUUGUGGCAAGGAGGAUCCCCAAGCAGGGCUGACUACAGGCAAGGGAGAGCCUGGACCAGCGUCUUGCUGUUGCUUCGUGUGACAGAUUUCUUCUGCGGUUUUAGGUGCCUUUGUCUGUGGCCAUCUGAGCGUCUUCCAAGGACGUGCCAAGUGAUGAACGAGCGUGAUUUAAGGCUACCCCUGAAAGCUGCGUGCGUUUCAGCAGACUGCAGAACGUGUCAACACAAUCGCUUCAAGGCUUUCAGCUUGCUGAAGCCCCUGUCAGCACUCUGCAGCUUCUGUGGACUGCCUGAUCAGCAGCGCUCUGACCAUUAAUAUUUAUAAACCUUAAAUAAUAAAGGACUUCAGGGUACCUGAGAGACCAUAUGUUGGCCUCCCAUUCCCUACAAAGCACCUGAGAUCAGUGUGGCUACAACCCAGGCUGCUCUGGCCCCAGAAGGGGAAGGGGGGAGCAUUGCCCCGGAGGGCCUCCGUCUUCGGAUUGCUCCCUCCUUCAUUAGUUACCAGAGCACAUCGCCUCCAUCCUUCAGGGCCAAGCUGCAGGCUUCUGUCUUUCCUUUUAGGCUGGAGUCUUAAUGCAUUUAUUACCGGGCUUCGUUUGGUUGUGACCUUGGCUGCUUGGUUGUCCUUUCUCCUCCCCACCUUUCGGUAAAAACGCGUUGAUGCACGAGGAGAGACAGCCCUGAGAUUUUUAUUAAUUUAGUAAUUUAUCGCUUUUGGUAAUUUUUUUUUUUGUCCUGAAUCUUGCCAAGGUGCUUGGUAACCGUUUGGCCACAGCUGCCUGUGAAUUAGCAUUUAGCGUAUGCAUGUGCGAAGACGCAGCCCCAUGAAUAAUGCAUGGUAAUAAACAGCCUGCUCAUUGGGCUCGGGGCAGGGCGCUACCGCGUAUGGAUUAGCCUCGAGGACCAGGACCAGCAGUAUUAAUAACGUGUGUAUCAGGUGGAGACAGCCCGCCUGAGCCCAUUGUGUGCUGCCCCGCUUACCUUGGUGAUAAAAACCUCCCUCGGCCUCGCCGAGUCCUCCCCUUGUACCCUGCGGGCCCAAACCCUUGGGGAACGACCCCCUCUGCCUGGCCACCUGUGGGCUCAAUUUAUUUUAUUUAGCCCCGGUGGGACGAGUGCAAAAAGGGAGAAAGGGAGCAAAAUCCCUGCCACGAGGCCCGGAGGGAGGCCGGGAGGCUGCUGGGGGUGCUGAAGGGACAGCGCUCGGCACGGCUCAGCACGGCUCAGCCCCUCCUCCAGGGCUGCCUGCUGCCUGCCCUGAGCCCCCCCAGCAGGGCCUCGGGGGCUCCUGGCCUUGUAGAGGCUCCAGUGACUCGUGAGGCCACCGCUGCGGGCUCCCGGAGGUAAGUCCCGGUGAACGGCUCGCCUGCCGCCCUCGCUC